GGAAGUCGUCCCUUUUCUCUUGCUCUUCCUCUCUGCUCUGGAGUGGCCAGAUCACUCAUUCAGAGAAAGCUGCCAAUCUGCCCUUCAAAAAGUACACAUGACGACUAAGACCUCCUGCCAAUAGCCUGUGCCUGCUUGCCAGUCAUGUAGUACUCUGUAUCUUUCCAGAUAGUUGGACCAGAGGGAUAAGGCUCCUCCCUAUCAGGAAUGCAUGGAAGAAAAGUGUUUUCUCAUCAUUUU